UCUCCGUAGGUGAACCUGCGGAGGGAUCAUUACUGAGUGAGGGCUUCGGUCCGACCUCCAACCCUUUGUGUGAACCAAACUUGUUGCUUCGGGGGCGACCCUGCCGACGACUCCGUCGCCGGGCGCCCCCGGAGGACUUCUAAACACUGCAUCUUUGCGUCGGAGUUUAAACAAAUUAAACAAAACUUUCAACAACGGGUCUCUUGGUUCUGGCAUCGAUGAAGAACGCAGC
rnacentral:misc_RNA from 1 species